AUACGGAAGAUCCAAGCGUUAUCCGGAUUUAUUGGGUUUAAAGGGAGCGUAGGCGGAAGUUCAAGUCAGUUGUGAAAGUCUGUGGCUUAACCAUAGAAUUGCAGUUGAAACUGAAUUUCUUGAGUGUAGAUAAGGAUGGUGGAAUUUGUGGUGUAGCGGUGAAAUGCAUAGAUAUCACGAAGAACUCCAAUUGCGAAGGCAGCCAUCCGGGCUACAACUGACGCUGAGGCUCGAAAGUGCGGGAAUCAAACAGGAUUAGAUACCCUGGUAGUCCGCACCGUAAACGAUGGAUACUCGUGGUUGGCGAUAAACAGUCAGUCACCAAGCGAAAGCGUUAAGUAUCCCACCUGGGGAGUACGCCGGCAACGGUGAA
rnacentral:rRNA from 1 species